AGCCUACGGGGCGCAGCAGUGAGGAAUAUUGGUCAAUGGGCGCGAGCCUGAACCAGCCAAGUCGCGUGAGGGAUGACGGCCCUACGGGUUGUAAACCUCUUUUGUCGGGGAGCAAAUUCCGCCACGCGUGGCGGAGUCGAGAGUACCAGAAGAAAAAGCAUCGGCUAACUCCGUGCCAGCAGCCGCGGUAAUACGGAGGAUGCGAGCGUUAUCCGGAUUUAUUGGGGUUAAAGGGUGCGUAGGCGGACUGUCAAGGCAGCGGUAAAAUACGGGGGCUCAACCGCCGCCCGCCGUUGAAACUGACG
rnacentral:rRNA from 1 species